rnacentral:rRNA from 1 species
CCCUUAGAUGUUCUGGGCUGCACGCGCGCUACACUGAAGUGUUCAACGAGUAUUCACCUUGCCCGGGAGGGUUGGGUAAUCUUUUGAAAACGCUUCGUGAUGGGGAUAGAUUAUUGCAAUUAUUAAUCUUCAACGAGGAAUUCCUAGUAAGCGCAAGUCAUCAGCUUGCAUUGAUUACGUCCCUGCCCUUUGUACACACCGCCCGUCGCUCCUACCGAUUGAAUGUUCCGAUGAAUACCAUGGACUGAGAGUAUGAAUGGGUUCGCCUAUUUCUGCUUCUCGGGAAGUGGAGUAAAUCUUAACAUUUAGAGGAAGGAGAAGUCGUAACA